GGUUUAUGAUGAUAAUCCAAAGGCUUGUUUCUCAAAACAUUCGCAGUGGUCGCCUAAGAGCUUUCGCCUUUCACGGGCUUGAGAGCUUGUGCCGCUUCAUUCCUUCCUUGGAUGUCCGAGACC